UUAAGCGACUAAGCGUACACGGUGGAUGCCCUGGCAGUCAGAGGCGAUGAAGGACGUGCUAAUCUGCGAUAAGCGUCGGUAAGGUGAUAUGAACCGUUAUAACCGGCGAUUUCCGAAUGGGGAAACCCAGUGUGUUUCGACACACUAUCAUUAACUGAAUCCAUAGGUUAAUGAGGCGAACCGGGGGAACUGAAACAUCUAAGUACCCCGAGGAAAAGAAAUCAACCGAGAUUCCCCCAGUAGCGGCGAGCGAACGGGGAGGAGCCCAGAGCCUGAAUCAGUGUGUGUGUUAGUGGAAGCGUCUGGAAAGGCGCGCGAUACAGGGUGACAGCCCCGUACACAAAAAUGCACAUGCUGUGAGCUCGAUGAGUAGGGCGGGACACGUGGUAUCCUGUCUGAAUAUGGGGGGACCAUCCUCCAAGGCUAAAUACUCCUGACUGACCGAUAGUGAGCCAGUACCGUGAGGGAAAGGCGAAAAGAACCCCGGCGAGGGGAGUGAAAAGAACCUGAAACCGUGUACGUACAAGCAGUGGGAGCACGCUUAGGCGUGUGACUGCGUACCUUUUGUAUAAUGGGUCAGCGACUUAUAUUCUGUAGCAAGGUUAACCGAAUAGGGGAGCCGAAGGGAAACCGAGUCUUAACUGGGCGUUAAGUUGCAGGGUAUAGACCCGAAACCCGGUGAUCUAGCCAUGGGCAGGUUGAAGGUUGGGUAACACUAACUGGAGGACCGAACCGACUAAUGUUGAAAAAUUAGCGGAUGACUUGUGGCUGGGGGUGAAAGGCCAAUCAAACCGGGAGAUAGCUGGUUCUCCCCGAAAGCUAUUUAGGUAGCGCCUCGUGAAUUCAUCUCCGGGGGUAGAGCACUGUUUCGGCAAGGGGGUCAUCCCGACUUACCAACCCGAUGCAAACUGCGAAUACCGGAGAAUGUUAUCACGGGAGACACACGGCGGGUGCUAACGUCCGUCGUGAAGAGGGAAACAACCCAGACCGCCAGCUAAGGUCCCAAAGUCAUGGUUAAGUGGGAAACGAUGUGGGAAGGCCCAGACAGCCAGGAUGUUGGCUUAGAAGCAGCCAUCAUUUAAAGAAAGCGUAAUAGCUCACUGGUCGAGUCGGCCUGCGCGGAAGAUGUAACGGGGCUAAACCAUGCACCGAAGCUGCGGCAGCGACGCUUAUGCGUUGUUGGGUAGGGGAGCGUUCUGUAAGCCUGUGAAGGUGUGCUGUGAGGCAUGCUGGAGGUAUCAGAAGUGCGAAUGCUGACAUAAGUAACGAUAAAGCGGGUGAAAAGCCCGCUCGCCGGAAGACCAAGGGUUCCUGUCCAACGUUAAUCGGGGCAGGGUGAGUCGACCCCUAAGGCGAGGCCGAAAGGCGUAGUCGAUGGGAAACAGGUUAAUAUUCCUGUACUUGGUGUUACUGCGAAGGGGGGACGGAGAAGGCUAUGUUGGCCGGGCGACGGUUGUCCCGGUUUAAGCGUGUAGGCUGGUUUUCCAGGCAAAUCCGGAAAAUCAAGGCUGAGGCGUGAUGACGAGGCACUACGGUGCUGAAGCAACAAAUGCCCUGCUUCCAGGAAAAGCCUCUAAGCAUCAGGUAACAUCAAAUCGUACCCCAAACCGACACAGGUGGUCAGGUAGAGAAUACCAAGGCGCUUGAGAGAACUCGGGUGAAGGAACUAGGCAAAAUGGUGCCGUAACUUCGGGAGAAGGCACGCUGAUAUGUAGGUGAAGCGACUUGCUCGUGGAGCUGAAAUCAGUCGAAGAUACCAGCUGGCUGCAACUGUUUAUUAAAAACACAGCACUGUGCAAACACGAAAGUGGACGUAUACGGUGUGACGCCUGCCCGGUGCCGGAAGGUUAAUUGAUGGGGUCAGCGCAAGCGAAGCUCUUGAUCGAAGCCCCGGUAAACGGCGGCCGUAACUAUAACGGUCCUAAGGUAGCGAAAUUCCUUGUCGGGUAAGUUCCGACCUGCACGAAUGGCGUAAUGAUGGCCAGGCUGUCUCCACCCGAGACUCAGUGAAAUUGAACUCGCUGUGAAGAUGCAGUGUACCCGCGGCAAGACGGAAAGACCCCGUGAACCUUUACUAUAGCUUGACACUGAACAUUGAGCCUUGAUGUGUAGGAUAGGUGGGAGGCUUUGAAGUGUGGACGCCAGUCUGCAUGGAGCCGACCUUGAAAUACCACCCUUUAAUGUUUGAUGUUCUAACGUUGACCCGUAAUCCGGGUUGCGGACAGUGUCUGGUGGGUAGUUUGACUGGGGCGGUCUCCUCCUAAAGAGUAACGGAGGAGCACGAAGGUUGGCUAAUCCUGGUCGGACAUCAGGAGGUUAGUGCAAUGGCAUAAGCCAGCUUGACUGCGAGCGUGACGGCGCGAGCAGGUGCGAAAGCAGGUCAUAGUGAUCCGGUGGUUCUGAAUGGAAGGGCCAUCGCUCAACGGAUAAAAGGUACUCCGGGGAUAACAGGCUGAUACCGCCCAAGAGUUCAUAUCGACGGCGGUGUUUGGCACCUCGAUGUCGGCUCAUCACAUCCUGGGGCUGAAGUAGGUCCCAAGGGUAUGGCUGUUCGCCAUUUAAAGUGGUACGCGAGCUGGGUUUAGAACGUCGUGAGACAGUUCGGUCCCUAUCUGCCGUGGGCGCUGGAGAACUGAGGGGGGCUGCUCCUAGUACGAGAGGACCGGAGUGGACGCAUCACUGGUGUUCGGGUUGUCAUGCCAAUGGCACUGCCCGGUAGCUAAAUGCGGAAGAGAUAAGUGCUGAAAGCAUCUAAGCACGAAACUUGCCCCGAGAUGAGUUCUCCCUGACUCCUUGAGAGUCCUGAAGGAACGUUGAAGACGACGACGUUGAUAGGCCGGGUGUGUAAGCGCAGCGAUGCGUUGAGCUAACCGGUACUAAUGAACCGUGAGGCUUAACCUU
rnacentral:rRNA from 1 species